rnacentral:lncRNA from 10 species
GCCACCAUGCCCGGCCUCUCCCUUUUUGUUAAUUAUAUUCAUUCAUUUUGUUUAUGCUCAGUUUGUACUAGAUUUGGGCAGUGAGAGCCCUGUCAAACUAUUUUCUGAGUUUUUGUUUGUUCGUAUCGUUUUCAAAAACCUAUUUACAUCAUUUUUAGAGCAUUUGCUUUCUUUCCAACGUAAUGUUUUCCACUUAUUAUGUACCUGAUGUCUAGGAUUCAUGUGCCUCAGUCUUGGAUUCACCUAUUCCUUCAAGAAGCCUUGGGUCCCUUGACCCAAAUAAUUUGGACCCAAGGAAUUUGGAAUUUGGAGAGCAAGCUAUGGACCCUCUGUUGCACCUAUUGCUUAAAGGCGUCAAUCUGCCUGGCUUUCCCUGUGGACAGACCUAGGGGUAUGGAGGCAAACCUCGGAGAUAUUGCAGGUUUAGUCCAGACUACCACAACAAAGCAAAUACUGAAAUAAAGCCAGUCACACAACUUUUAUUUCUCCAUUCAUAUGAAAGAUCCAUCAGAAGAAUCACUAUAUAUGGCACCUAUAGCCUUACAAAAUGUGUAUCUUAAAUAAUGAGACUUGAAAGUUGAAAUGACACCUUGACCCAUGGGCUGCGGAAUGGAUGUUGUGUUAACAGACAUGAAAACACAUUAUUCUCUUCGUAAAUCUCCAUCAGAGCUCUUGGAUGACCAGUUGCAUUUUCAAUGAGAAGUAAUAUAGUGAAGAAAUCUUUUUUUCUCUGAACAGUAGGUCUCAACACGGUUUAAAAUAUUCAGUAAGCAUUGCUGUACAGAUGUCCUCUCAUUCAGACUUUGUUGUUCCAUUUAUAAAUCACAGGCAGAUAACUAGCAUACUUGUUAAGGGUCCUAGAAUUUUCAGAACGAUAAAUGAGAUUUGACUUCAACUUAAAGUCACCAGCUGCAUUAGCCCCUAACAAGAGAAUUAGCCUGUCCUUUGAAGCCAGGCAUUCAUUUCUUCUCUCAAGCUAUGAAAUUUCUAGAUGGUAUCUUCUCCCAAUAGAAGGCUGUUGUGUCUACAUUGAAAAUCUGCUUUUUAGUGUAGCUACCUUCACAGGCUGUUGAAAAAAAAAUGGCACUGAUAGACUUGCUUGAUGCAGGAUUGCCACAAACUUUGAAUUUGUAAAAAAUGUAAUAUCUGUGAAGCAUAGUAAAGUGAAACACAAUAAAAUGUGGUAUGUUUUU